AGUGAACGCCGGCGGUAGGCCUAACACAUGCAAGUCGAACGGCAGCACAGUAAGAGCUUGCUCUUACGGGUGGCGAGUGGCGGACGGGUGAGGAAUACAUCGGAAUCUACUUUUUCGUGGGGGAUAACGUAGGGAAACUUACGCUAAUACCGCAUACGACCUACGGGUGAAAGCAGAGGAUCUUCGGACCUUGCGCGAUUGAAUGAGCCGAUGUCGGAUUAGCUAGUUGGCGGGGUAAAGGCCCACCAAGGCGACGAUCCGUAGCUGGUCUGAGAGGAUGAUCAGCCACACUGGAACUGAGACACGGUCCAGACUCCUACGGGAGGCAGCAGUGGGGAAUAUUGGACAAUGGGCGCAAGCCUGAUCCAGCCAUACCGCGUGGGUGAAGAAGGCCUUCGGGUUGUAAAGCCCUUUUGUUGGGGAAGAAAAGCAGCAGGUUAAUACCCCGCUGUUCUGACGGUACCCAAAGAAUAAGCACCGGCUAACUUCGUG
rnacentral:rRNA from 1 species